rnacentral:piRNA from 1 species
UGCUUUCUGUGACAUUUAUGUUCUUUGCC